UUAAUAUAUUCAAUGUUAAUAAUCUUUAUUAACAUAGUCAAUGUUUCAGAGUUCACUAUAUUUUUUAGUUUGGGAAUAAUAAAUAUAAUUUUUUAAAAGAAGGAAAGUAAGAUGUAUCUAUCCAAGAACUUACAUACUUUCCACUAAGUGUCUCUUAAAAACCUAAAGCAGAGCUUUGAGAAUCCUUUAGAAAGUUUACACAGAGUGGUUGGAGGGAAGCAUUCAUAAAUGUAUAGCUCUGUGCACAAGGAUGUCCUUUGAUAUAAAACACAGUCACACAGUUUGCAUUGUGGAAACUAGCAGGGUAGCUAGCUCUCCAGAAAGAAAUUGAGGCAGUUUCCCUACCACGCUUCUGCUGUUCACAUAAGAUCUGAAAGAGUAACCUCGUCAAGAACAAGGUAACCUCUUGAUGAAUAUCUUGAAACUUUUGAUUUGAAAGUUUGAAAAGCAAUACCGAGAGGCUAUGGGAUUCAAGAGAUGGUAAAAUGAAUGCCUAAUACUAUAGUCAACACUUGGCACAGUGGGAUUGACACAUCUACUCCAAAGUAUUUCAUGAUAAAACUAGGGAAAUGCAAGAAAAGGAAAGAGACAAUGACUUGCAAAAAACAAAAACAAAAACAAAAAACCCCACCACCAUGAGCACUCAAAACAUAGGAGGUUUACACCAAAACUGACUCUCAUUUACAGUCACUACAAGAGAACUUAACUUUUAAAUGCAAGAAUAAAUAAAAUAAAAACCCACAAUAUUUCUUUUUCAACAUGAUUGUCAAGUAUUGGUGGAGAACAAUAUUCUUUACAUAGUAUUUAGGAUAUUUAAUCUUUUAUUCUCACCCAAGUUUUAAUAAUAAGGGUAGCAAAAAUUGGUGGAUAUAUAUAUAUAUAUAUAUAUAUAUAUAUAUAUAUCUUUAUUCCAUAAUUAAAUAGGACAUUUUUGUUGUUCAUUAAUAUUUUCUAGUUCUUACAUAUUAUGGCAAAUAAGGGAUAGUUGAUACUAUUUAAGAUUCAAGCCAAAAGCCAAAUAUCAAAGAAAACUACUUGAUUCAAGUGAGAACUAAAAGAAGUACCAUUCACUAAAUACGGGGAAUUUGUGCUUCAAUAACAAAACAAUUAUAAUAGAUUAAAGGAGAUAAAGUCCAUGACUUCAAAUUGAUAAUAAAAUACAU